rnacentral:rRNA from 1 species
GAUGAACGCUGGCGGCGUGCCUAAUACAUGCAAGUCGAGCGAACGGACGAGAAGCUUGCUUCUCUGAUGUUAGCGGCGGACGGGUGAGUAACAUGUGAUAACCUACCUAUAAGACUGGGAUAACUUCGGGAAACCGUAGCUAAUACCGGAUAAUAUUUUGAACCGCAUGGUUCAAAAGUGAAAGACGGUCUUGCUGUCACUUAUAGAUGGAUCCGCGCUGCAUUAGCUAGUUGGUAAGGUAACGGCUUACCAAGGCAACGAUGCAUAGCCGACCUGAGAGGGUGAUCGGCCACACUGGAACUGAGACACGGUCCAGACUCCUACGGGAGGCAGCAGUAGGGAAUCUUCCGCAAUGGGCGAAAGCCUGACGGAGCAACGCCGCGUGAGUGAUGAAGGUCUUCGGAUCGUAAAACUCUGUUAUUAGGGAAGAACAUAUGUGUAAGUAACUGUGCACAUCUUGACGGUACCUAAUCAGAAAGCCACGGCUAACUACGUG